AACCCGACUCCAUGAAGCUGGAUUCGCUAGUAAUCGCGCAUCAGCCACGGCGCGGUGAAUACGUUCCCGGGCCUUGUACACACCGCCCGUCAAGCCAUGGAGGCCGGGAGUGCCUGAAGUGCGUGAGCGCAAGCAGCGCCCUAAGGUAAAACCGGUGACUGGGGCUAAGUCGUAACAAGGUAGC
rnacentral:rRNA from 1 species